UACGGGGGGAGCAAGCGUUGUUCGGAUUUACUGGGCGUAAAGGGCGCGUAGGCGGUCAGCACAAGUCAGUUGUGAAAUCUCCGGGCUUAACUCGGAAAGGUCAACUGAUACUGUGCGACUAGAGUGCAGAAGGGGCAACUGGAAUUCUCGGUGUAGCGGUGAAAUGCGUAGAUAUCGGAAGGAACGCCGGUGGCGAAAGCGAUCCGCUGGACCUCUUCUGACGCUGAGGCGCGAAAGCCAGGGGAGCAAACGGG
rnacentral:rRNA from 1 species